UUAAGAUUCCUUUUCUAAAGAUUUAUCGCUUGAGGAGUGGCUCGCGUCCCAUUAGCUAGUUGGUAAGGUAACGGCUUACCAAGGCAAUGAUGGGUAGGUGGUCUGAGAGGAUGGUCACCCACACUGGGACUGAGACACUGCCCAGACUCCUACGGGAGGCUGCAGUCGAGAAUCUUCCGCAAUGCGCGAAAGCGUGACGGAGCAAUGCCGCGUGCAGGAUGAAGGCCUUCGGGUUGUAAACUGCUGUCACCGGGGAUGAAUAAAUGACAGUACCCGGAGAGGAAGCCACGGCCAACUACGUGCCAGCAGCCGCGGUAUGCGUAGGUGGCGAGCGUUGUUCGGAAUUAUUGGGCGUAAAGGGUCCGCAGGUGGUUUAUUAAGUCUGAUGUGAAAUCUGAAGGCUCAACCUUCAAACUGCAUUGGAAACUGAUAGACUAGAGUGCUGGAGAGGUGAAUGGAAUUCCAGGUGUAGCGGUGGAAUGCGUAGAUAUCUGGAGGAACACCAAAAGCGAAGGCAGUUCACUGGACAGAUACUGACACUCAGGGACGAAAGCGUGGGGAGCAAACAGGAUUAGAUACCCUGGUAGUCCACGCCGUAAACGUUGUAUACUAGUUGUAGGAGGAUUUAGCCCCUUCUGUGACUGAGCUAACGCAUUAAGUAUACCGCCUGGGGACUACGGCCGCAAGGCUAAAACUCAAAGGAAUUGACGGGGCCCCGCACAAGCGGUGGAGCAUGUGGCUUAAUUCGAGGCAACGCGAAGAACCUUACCUAGAUUUGACAUAUACCUGACCGCCAUAGAAAUAUGGCUUUUCCUUCGGGACGAGUAUACAGGUGCUGCAUGGCUGUCGUCAGCUCGUGCUGUGAAGUGUUCGGUUAAGUCCGGCAACGAGCGCAACCCGCGUCGUUAGUUACCAUCAGGUUAUGCUGGGGACUCUAGCGAGACUGCCCGUGUUAAGCGGGAGGAAGGCGCGGAUGACGUCAAGUCCGUAUGGCCUUUAUAUCUAGGGCUGCACACGUGCUACAAUGGUUGGUACAAUGGGACGCAAUAUCGCGAGAUGGAGCAAAUCCUUAAAACCAAUCUUAGUUCGGAUUGUAGUCUGCAACUCGACUACAUGAAGCCGGAAUCGCUAGUAAAGGCGUAUCAGCUACGACGCCUUGAAUACGUUCCCGGGGCUUGUACACACCGCCCGUCACAUCAUGGAAGCUUAUUGCACCCAAAGUCGUUGACCCAACUUUUAACGAGAGGGAGACGCCUAAGGCGUGGUUAGUAACUGGGAUGAAGUCGUAACAAGGUA
rnacentral:rRNA from 1 species